AACGAACGUUAGCGGCGCGCUUAACACAUGCAAGUCGUACGAGAAAGAGUCCUUCGGGGCUCCGGUAAAGUGGCGCACGGGUGAGUAACACGUGGGUAACUUACCCUUUGGUAAAGGAUAACGUCCCGAAAGGGGCGCUAAUACUUCAUAAGACCGCAUCCUGUGAUGGAUGCGGUGAAAGCUGGCCUCUUCUUGAAAGCUAGCGCCAGAGGAUAGGCCCGCGGCCCAUCAGGUAGUUGGUAGGGUAAUGGCCUACCAAGCCUAAGACGGGUAGCUGGUCUGAGAGGAUGAUCAGCCACACUGGAACUGAGACACGGUCCAG
rnacentral:rRNA from 1 species